UCGCCCCAACUCAGCACCCGCAACAACCCAGACCAGUUGCCCCACACCCAUUCCCACCAACCAGUAAUGAUUUCCAAAGGCUGUCACCCGCUUCUCACGACGAGAAAUCCAAUAAGCACUUGCUCCGCAGCGGCAACAAAACGCAUUGUUGUCGCUAUUUUCACGUUGAUUUCCCUUAUUGCCACGGGAAAACCGGUGCUGGCCACAUUCAAUUGAUUUUGAGUGAUUUUUUGGCAAGUACCCUGUACGUACACCGAACAUGGAAUCUUAUUUAAGGGGAAUAUUGGU
rnacentral:lncRNA from 1 species